UGGGGAAUUUUGGACAAUGGGGGAAACCCUGAUCCAGCCAUCCCGCGUGUGCGAUGAAGGCCUUCGGGUUGUAAAGCACUUUUGGCAGGAAAGAAACGUCGCGGGUUAAUACCCCGCGAAACUGACGGUACCUGCAGAAUAAGCACCGGCUAACUACGUGCCAGCAGCCGCGGUAAUACGUAGGGUGCAAGCGUUAAUCGGAAUUACUGGGCGUAAAGCGUGCGCAGGCGGUUCGGAAAGAAAGAUGUGAAAUCCCAGAGCUUAACUUUGGAACUGCAUUUUUAACUACCGGGCUAGAGUGUGUCAGAGGGAGGUGGAAUUCCGCGUGUAGCAGUGAAAUGCGUAGAUAUGCGGAGGAACACCGAUGGCGAAGGCAGCCUCCUGGGAUAACACUGACGCUCAUGCACGAAAGCGUGGGGAGCAAACAGGAUUAGAUACCCUGGUAGUCCACGCCCUAAACGAUGUCAACUAGCUGUUGGGGCCUUCGGGCCUUGGUAGCGCAGCUAACGCGUGAAGUUGACCGCCUGGGGAGUACGGUCGCAAGAUUAAAACUCAAAUGAAUGAC
rnacentral:rRNA from 1 species